rnacentral:sRNA from 1 species
CGGGUAGACGAUACGGCCCCGACUGAAGUCCGUAUCACAACGUCAAAAAGGUAGUCUUAUG